rnacentral:rRNA from 1 species
AACUUUCAACAACGGAUCUCUUGGUUCCAGCAUCGAUGAAGAACGCAGCGAAAUGCGAUAAGUAAUGUGAAUUGCAGAAUUCAGUGAACCAUCGAAUCUUUGAACGCACAUUGCGCCCCUCGGUAUUCCGGGGGGCAUGCCUGUUCGAGCGUCAUU